ensembl:lncRNA
GCUGAAUCAGUCAGAGCUGGAUCUGUCUGGAUGGGAGUUUCCUGGCUAGACCACACAAGCUAAACUCACGACUGAAUUUACAGCCUCUGACUGGCACAAGAAUUAACGUGGGAAGAACACGCGGAACUCUGUGUGAGAACCCAUCUGUUUCCCCGCUGAACAAUUCCUACAUCCUGCAGUUAGCCCCUCCCCCUGAUGCAUGUCUCCACACUGUGGCGUAGGCAUCUGCCCUCAACAUCUGUCACCACCCGUCACUGUGAUGUCAUCCACCCAGACCAGCUUAACGCCCAGCCCCCUCUGUACAGAUACAGAGAGCGAGCCACAGACGCCGACUAGUCACAGUAUGACAAUAACACCCAAUGACUGGACCAAAAGAUUUUCCUUUAAGGGACAGAGAUGUACUUUGAAGACAAGACAGUAAAAGU